rnacentral:rRNA from 1 species
UCGGAGGGAUUCUAGCCGUUAAACCCCCAAUUUUCUAAAGGUUGACCUCGGAUCAGGUAGGAAUACCCGCUGAACUUAAGCAUAUCAAUAAGCGGAGGAAAAGAAACCAACAGGGAUUGCCUCAGUAACGGCGAGUGAAGCGGCAACAGCUCAAAUUUGAAAUCUGGUCCUUGCGGCCCGAGUUGUAAUUUGCAGAGGAUGCUUUUGGCGCGGUGCCUUCCAAGUUCCCUGGAACGGGACGCCUUAGAGGGUGAGAGCCCCGUACGGUUGGACACCAAGCCUUUGUAAAGCUCCUUCGACGAGUCGAGUAGUUUGGGAAUGCUGCUCUAAAUGGGAGGUAUAUUUCUUCUAAAGCUAAAUACCGGCCAGAGACCGAUAGCGCACAAGUAGAGUGAUCGAAAGAUGAAAAGCACUUUGAAAAGAGGGUUAAACAGCACGUGAAAUUGUUAAAAGGGAAGCGCUUGUGACCAGACUUGCGCCCGGUGAAUCACCCAGCUCUCGCGGCUGGGGCACUUUGCCGGCUCAGGCCAGCAUCAGCUUGCCGUCGGGGACAAAAGCUUCGGGAACGUAGCUCUCUUCGGGGAGUGUUAUAGCCCGUUGCACAAUACCCUUCGGCGGGCUGAGGUACGCGU